rnacentral:rRNA from 1 species
GAGUUUGAUCCUGGCUCAGAUUGAACGCUGGCGGCAGGCUUAACACAUGCAAGUCGAGCGGGGAAAGGUAGCUUGCUACCUGACCUAGCGGCGGACGGGUGAGUAAUGCUUAGGAAUCUGCCUAUUAGUGGGGGACAACAUUCCGAAAGGAAUGCUAAUACCGCAUACGUCCUACGGGAGAAAGCAGGGGAUCUUCGGACCUUGCGCUAAUAGAUGAGCCUAAGUCAGAUUAGCUAGUUGGUGGGGUAAAGGCCUACCAAGGCGACGAUCUGUAGCGGGUCUGAGAGGAUGAUCCGCCACACUGGGACUGAGACACGGCCCAGACUCCUACGGGAGGCAGCAG